CUCUGUCUCGUCCUUCCCUUCGCUUCUCUCACCUCCUCUCUCCUUCCCUUUUCAAUUCCCUCUCUCUCGUCCUCCUUAUCUUUUCUCUACCAACACAACAAUCAUCGCUUCUCUACUUACACAUCUCCUACCCCCGCCUCUUUUCCUUCUUCUCGUAUCUUUUCUCUUCCCUUUCCCCAUCUCUCCUCCUUUUUCCCUCGACCUCUCCCUCCUUCCUCCUUUUCUUAAAAUGUAUUUUACAUAUUAUAUGUAAAUUUGACAGAGCUGUCAAGUGCUUAAUAGUCUAAGACUAAUUAAUUAGUCUUUAAAACUACAAGUAUUAUUUGAUUCGUUUUGAAAACUACAAGUGACUAAUUUAUAAUUCACUCGCUUAAAGCCUAUGCACAUACACAGAAAAGGCCUAUCUGCCUCUUAAACCUCAAUUCUAAAACCCUUUCACCCUGCUGUCUCUCUGCAAUCUAAUAGAUUAAACAAACGAUACCAUACCUCCUGUUUCAGACACCCUGAAGCUGCUAAUGUUCCUCAGUAAAGCCUGUUUGGUGUCUCUAUACUGCGGAUUCCUCUUCGCAAACUUGCCCGGUCAGUCACUGCUCAUUUCCACACGCAUAUAUGUUAAGUUUUCUUGUUUAAGGAAUCGAAAUGGAGCAGUUUUUUGUUGAUUUCACAUAUUUGUGAUUGGUUGCAAGUAGGUGAUUUAAUUGUGUGACUGACAUAUUUGGUGGGCGAGUUGUGGCUUUUAACUGCUAUUGUGUCAGUUUAUUUUCUAUUACUUUGUGAUUAUACAAUAGAGUCUAAAGUUGCCAAAUUGCAUAACUGUGUUUCAGUAUAAUUUGAAAAUAGACAUAACUUUGUAAACAUGGAAGGGGAACAAGCAAUAUUGGGUUGCUUCACCGUUACCUUGGUUCAUAUAUUUUACAGAAAAAUAUAAAAUUAGUUGACUUUUCCUAGGAUGGUUGUAAUGCCUUUAUAUCUUAGAGGAAAUCUUGCACCUAUGUUAUGCAUGUGGAACAAGUUUCUGAUCAUUCGGACAGGGUCUGAUACCAAAGCUUGAUAAUCGCAUCAUAUUUUGUAGAGUUAGCAUAAUUUGCUACAUAAAAUGGUCUGAUUAAUUUCUUAUGUUUACAUAGAGAUUUAAUUAGAUGAUAUGAUGUAUCUUGUAAUUUUGAUUAUGUGCCUAAUAUUUUUUGUCAUUUCUUCGGUCGUACUGCUAUUUUUUUGUUUGAAAGUGAAGAACUUGUAUCGUGUUUCCAUGUCAUUUUUCAACUUUCAUAUCACAACAGCAAAUAUAAUUGUAGUAUAGUUCUUUUUAUGGUUGAUAUUAGCAACUCAAGAAACUACUUUCGCCAGGUUUUUUUGGAUCCAUCUGGUGAAGGGCACCCUGCCAAUACUCAAAUCUAUAAUCAUUCCCAUUCAAGAAAUUCAAGCAGCCCUUAUACAUCAAUUUUUCAAUCCAGUUGUCUUCAGCACAGGUUAAAAAAAUGGUAAGAUCAAAGAAAGCUUCAGUGGGGCAAUUGGUUUCUGGCGUCACAGGAGAGUCCAGCUCUGGUUAGAGAAACUUGGUGCAAAAGAACCAUUUUAUGGUAACGUGGCUAUCUGUUGGACCAAUGCCAAAGAAGAGGAAGCACUUGAAAGAUAUAAGUUGAUUACAGGAAAUAUAGUUUUGUUUCCCAAGUUUCAGGUCCACGGUAAAAACAGCUUAGACGAUGAUUGGCUUGCAGCUUUCAUCUGAUGGGCUAGUUGACAAGUGUUCUGGGUUGAACUCCAGAGGAGUGUUGGAAAUAAAAUGUCCAUUUUUUAAAGGAGAAAUGUGCAGGGCUUCACCUUGGAAGCAGAUCCCUCUUUAUUGUGUUCCACAAGCUGAUGUUUUAAUCGCAAUACUUGACAAGGAUUGGAUGGAUUUCUAUGUUUGGACUCCUAAUGGAAGCGGUCUGUUUGUGUUAUGUUGAGACGAGGCAUAUUGGAUGCUCUGAAAAUAGCACUUUCUGAUCUCUGGAUUAAUCAUGUACUGCCAGCAAAGGAGUUGUGAAGUAAAAGAGAUAACAGCUCCCCUGAAAGAAUUAGGAUCAUUGAAGCCUGAAGUCUGCACCAAGGCAUGAAUUGUAUAGCUAUAUAGUUUAUGAAAGUUAACAAAUUGUUGAAAGCUCCCACUUAAAGAUGCUCGAAAUUAGUGGGCAACUUCAAAACUGAUGCAAUUAGGAAUUGAUGAGCUGGGGCAUCUCGCUACAGUUUGAAUAGAUGAACUUGUGUAGGUGUCUUUUUUCGUUAUUUUCUACCUGCAGCUAUGAGAAAAGUCAAAUGUAUCUGAUAUUAAACAAACGAUGACCCCUUCUUGUUGGUGCAGGUUGCAUUGCAUCUUCUGCACUCUGACUUCUUCUUCUUUAUGUUUUUUAAUUAGUAUUGUUAUUAAGUAGACGAAUUAUGAGAUUUGAUCAGAAAGUGAGGAACAGGGUUAGGCAGUUUGAGUGGAACCAGAUUAGAGCAACUUGGGUUGUUAGCAGCAUGGAGAUAACUCAGCCCGAUCACUGUCCUUCCUCCCCUGCUGAUUAGUGCAGUGCUUUGAAUAUUUUCGCUUACCAACUUUGAGUUAUGAAGAUUUGUUGGCUUGUCUACUUUGGACCGACACACGUGCAAGAGGCACACAUUGAGAGAUGGCAGGUCAGUUGUGCACGAUUAAUCAUCAAGUUUUGCGACAUCACUAUCCAAAAUACUGCAAUUUGAGUAACAGGAUAAAUUGGGACCAUGAUUUUUGGUGUUAGAGCUUCGAUGCUGUUACAUAUUCUCCAUAAACUGCAUACAAGGGAGGUGUGAGCACUUUGUAGUGAUAGCAAGGUAACCAUUAAAACUUUUUAGGUGGGAACUAGCACUUCAAUUUUUCUUUCCUGACUUAUAGAUGAGGUUUAAAAAGGAUAUAGCAAAAUACAGAGUUGUAAAUUCAGCUUCCCAUCAGAUAAAUCCUUAGUAGGUUUUAAAUUUAUCGGACAAGCAAUAAAAAUAGGGAAAAUCUGACUACUUCCAGCCAGCUCAAUUACAACAGUUGGGCUCCAUGCAUUAUAUUACACUAAACUCAAGACUAGUUCAUUAAUAUCAAAAAACCUUCAACAUGCAAUAUACUAUGAUGUGCUUGCAAAUGUCAGAACAACGAAAUACAAGAUAUAAAUGAAAACGAACAUGCUGAGACAUACUGAAGACUGAGAUCAAGGAAAAAUGCAUUAUUUGCCUCGGAUUUACUGCAAGACUGGGGAAGAAAGCAAGAUCUGCAGACUAGCUUUGCUGGAGCAGCCUCUAUACAUGUUUAACAAAUUAUGGCGGAAGACAUGCAAGCCCUAUGUACUCAUCAAAUCAAUAGAGGGUUGAAAAACCCUGGAAUAUGAGACCAUAUCCCAGAGUAGGGAACGAAGGGGAGUCCUGAAAAUUCAAAAUGUGGUGUGGUAAUACUCGAGGAGUGGAGAGAACAUAAAACCAAGAAAAGACGAAGAAGAAAAGGGUGGUGAUCGGUGCCAUAGUUUUGAGCUUACUACACGGGAAGCUUUGUGCUGGAGCUAGCUGGGUCUCUAUGAUCUUAAUCUGUUGCUUUCUUUGCGAGUUUCGACAAGGCAUGAAACAAGUGAUUGUGGCAACUGAAAAUAACGAUCCACACCCAUGCACACACGCAAAAGGCUGAGAGAGGAAUCCCAAGUGUGCAUCAAUUGCCUUACCUGAUGCCGUGAAAAAUUAUGAUCUCUCAAGGGUUUUCCAAAGUUUUUCCGACAAAGAAGUGUGAGGGUGGGUACUUUCGGUCACAGUGACAUGAUGCCUCGAAAAGAAAAAAGGGCAAGCGACAAAGUAGUUAGCAAUUGCUUGCACGCUGCGGUCAUGGUUCAAAAAGAAAACGCGACUUACAAGCAACUUCUUUUAUAGCA